AACGCGAAGAACCUUACCUGCCCUUGACAUCCCGGUGACCGCAGAGUAAUGUCUGCUUUCCUUCGGGACACCGGAGACAGGUGGUGCAUGGUUGUCGUCAGCUCGUGUCGUGAGAUGUUGGGUUAAGUCCCGCAACGAGCGCAACCCUUAUCUUCAGUAGCCAGCGGUUUGGCCGGGCACUCUGGAGAGACUGCCAGGGAUAACCUGGAGGAAGGUGGGGAUGACGUCAAAUCAUCAUGCCCCUUAUGGGCAGGGCUACACACGUGCUACAAUGGCGUAAACAAAGGGAGGCAAUACUGCGAGGUUGAGCAAAUCCCAAAAAUAACGUCUCAGUUCGGAUUGUAGUCUGCAACUCGACUACAUGAAGCUGGAAUCGCUAGUAAUCGCGAAUCAGAAUGUCGCGGUGAAUACGUUCCCGGGUCUUGUACACACCG
rnacentral:rRNA from 1 species